rnacentral:rRNA from 1 species
AGAGCGAACGCUGGCGGCAGGCCUAAUACAUGCAAGUCGAACGGACCCUUCGGGGUUAGUGGCGGACGGGUGAGUAACACGUGGGAACGUGCCCCUUGGUUCGGAACAACACAGGGAAACUUGUGCUAAUACCGGAUAAGCCCUUACGGGGAAAGAUUUAUCGCCGAAAGAUCGGCCCGCGUCUGAUUAGCUAGUUGGUGAGGUAACGGCUCACCAAGGCGACGAUCAGUAGCUGGUCUGAGAGGAUGAUCAGCCACAUUGGGACUGAGACACGGCCCAAACUCCUACGGGAGGCAGCAGUGGGGAAUAUUGGACAAUGGGCGCAAGCCUGAUCCAGCCAUGCCGCGUGAGUGAUGAAGGCCCUAGGGUUGUAAAGCUCUUUUGUGCGGGAAGAUAAUGACGGUACCGCAAGAAUAAGCCCCGGCUAACUUCGUGCCAGCAGCCGC